rnacentral:lncRNA from 1 species
CGCUUGAACCCAAGAAGCGGAGGUUGCAGUGAGCCAAGACCGCACCACUGCACUCCAGCCUGGGCGACAAAAGCAAAACUCUUGUCUCAAAAAAAUAAUAAAAAUAAAAAUAAAAUAAAAUCAGGGUUCGGGUGAGAAGGGAACAAAAAGGCUAAUAAUGGCUCCAGCACUGUGGGAGGCUAGCUCAAGGGGAGCCCAUAGGAGAGGCCCAAGGUCUGGCAGGGAAGACAGGCCAGGCAUGAGGUGCAAGUUGUACCUCACCCCACAGCCAUGUUCUUUACUCCUCUCUCCUUCAGAGUUCACCCACAGUUCCUGCACUCAGCAAACAUGUCUGGGCAGGUGCGUAGAGCAGGUGCCUGCGCAGACCUCUGGGACUGGGGGCCUCCUCCCCAGCUCAAGGUUCUUUCUGCAGCCUCCACUGCCCUGAGCUCAGUCCCUGGCACAUGGGCCAUAGGGAACCAGGAAACCAAAGCAACCUGUGGGCAAGCAAGCCUCCCAAGUGCCAAGGCAAGAGACCGAGGGCACAAGACCCCCUGUCCGGUGAACAUGUGACUCACAUGACCUUAUCAAUCAUUGGAAAUGACUCACACUCUUUACCCUGCCCCUUUCGCCUUGUAUCCAAUAAAUAACAGCGCAGCCAGGCAUUCAGGACCA